AACAGGAUUAGAUACCCUGGUAGUCCACGCCGUAAACGAUGUCGACUUGGAGGUUGUUCCCUUGAGGAGUGGCUUCCGGAGCUAACGCGUUAAGUCGACCGCCUGGGGAGUACGGCCGCAAGGUUAAAACUCAAAUGAAUUGACGGGGGCCCGCACAAGCGGUGGAGCAUGUGGUUUAAUUCGAUGCAACGCGAAGAACCUUACCUACUCUUGACAUCCAGAGAACUUAGCAGAGAUGCUUUGGUGCCUUCGGGAACUCUGAGACAGGUGCUGCAUGGCUGUCGUCAGCUCGUGUUGUGAAAUGUUGGGUUAAGUCCCGCAACGAGCGCAACCCUUAUCCUUUGUUGCCAGCGGUUCGGCCGGGAACUCAAAGGAGACUGCCAGUGAUAAACUGGAGGAAGGUGGGGAUGACGUCAAGUCAUCAUGGCCCUUACGAGUAGGGCUACACACGUGCUACAAUGGCGCAUACAAAGAGAAGCGACCUCGCGAGAGCAAGCGGACCUCAUAAAGUGCGUCGUAGUCCGGAUCGGAGUCUGCAACUCGACUCCGUGAAGUCGGAAUCGCUAGUAAUCGUAGAUCAGAAUGCUACGGUGAAUACGUUCCCGGGCCUUGUACACACCGCCCGUCACACCAUGGGAGUGGGUUGCAAAAGAAGUAGGUAGCUUAACCUUCGGGAGGGCGCUUACCACUUUGUGAUUCAUGACUGGGUGAAGUCGUAACAAGGUAACC
rnacentral:rRNA from 1 species